CUACGUAGGGGGCGAGCGUUGUCCGGAAUGAUUGGGCGUAAAGGGCGCGUAGGCGGCUUUGCAAGUCAGUAGUGGAAGUCCAUUUUUCAAGGAUGGAAGUGCUACAGAAACUGCGGAGCUUGAGUGCAGGAGAGGUUAUCGGAAUUCCCGGUGUAGCGGUGAAAUGCGUAGAGAUCGGGAGGAACACCAGUGGCGAAGGCGGGUAACUGGACUGCAACUGACGCUGAGGCGCGAAAGUGUGGGGAGCAAACAGGAUUAGAUACCCUGGUAGUCCACACUGUAAACGAUGAAUGCUAGGUGUAGGAGGUAUCGACCCCUUCUGUGCCGCAGUAAACACAGUAAGCAUUCCGCCUGGGGAGUACGGUCGCAAGAUUAAAACUCAAAUGAAUUGACGGGG
rnacentral:rRNA from 1 species